rnacentral:rRNA from 1 species
AUUGAACGCUGGCGGCAUGCCUUACACAUGCAAGUCGAACGGUAACAGGUCUUCGGAUGCUGACGAGUGGCGAACGGGUGAGUAAUACAUCGGAACGUGCCUAGUAGUGGGGGAUAACUACCCGAAAGAGUGGCUAAUACCGCAUGAGAUCUACGGAUGAAAGCAGGGGAUCGCAAGACCUUGUGCUACUAGAGCGGCCGAUGGCAGAUUGGGUAGUUGGUGGGAUAAAAGCUUACCAAGCCGACGAUCUGUAGCUGGUCUGAGAGGACGAUCAGCCACACUGGGACUGAGAAACGGCCCAGACUCCUACGGGAGGCAGCAGUGGGGGAUUUUGGACAAUGGGCGCAAGCCUGAUCCAGCAAUGCCGCGUGCAGGAUGAAGGCCUUCGGGUUGUAAACUGCUUUUGUACGGAACGAAAAGCCCCGGGUUAAUACCCUGGGGUCAUGACGGUACCGUAAGAAUAAGCACCGGCUAACUACGUGCCAGCCGCCGCGGUAA